rnacentral:rRNA from 1 species
GCCUCAGUCCCGGAUGUUAUGGGCCCGAUGGAUGCGCGUCUAUACAUGCAGUUGAGCGCUGAAGGUUGGUACUUGUACCGACUGGAUGAGCAGCAAACGGGUGAGUAACGCGUGGGAAAUCUGCCUUUGAGCGGGGGACAACAUUUGGAAACGAAUGCUAAUACCGCAUAAAAACUUUAAACACAAGUUUUAAGUUUGAAAGAUGCAAUUGCAUCACUCAAAGAUGAUCCCGCGUUGUAUUACCUAGUUGGUGAGGUAAAGGCUCACCAAGGCGAUGAUACAUCAGCCAACCUGAGAGGGAGACCCGCCACACUUGGGACUGACACACGGCACCUAAACUCCAACGGGAGGCAGCAGUAGGGAAUCUUCGGCAAUGGACGAAAGUCUGACCGAGCAACGCCGCGUGAGUGAAGAAGGUUUUCGGAUCGUAAAACUCUGUUGGUAGAGAAGAACGUUGGUGAGAGUGGAAAGCUCAUCAAGUGACGGUAACUACCCAGAAAGGGACGGCUAACUACGUGCCAGCAGCCGCGGUAAUACGUAGGUCCCGAGCGUUGUCCGGAUUUAUUGGGCGUAAAGCGAGCGCAGGUGGUUUAUUAAGUCUGGUGUAAAAGGCAGUGGCUCAACCAUUGUAUGCAUUGGAAACUGGUAGACUUGAGUGCAGGAGAGGAGAGUGGAAUUCCAUGUGUAGCGGUGAAAUGCGUAGAUAUAUGGAGGAACACCGGUGGCGAAAGCGGCUCUCUGGCCUGUAACUGACACUGAGCUCGAAAGCGUGGGGAGCAAACAGGAUUAGAUACCCUGGUAGUCCACGCCGUAAACGAUGAGUGCUAGAUGUAGGGAGCUAUAAGUUCUCUGUAUCGCAGCUAACGCAAUAAGCACUCCGCCUGGGGAGUACGACCGCAAGGUUGAAACUCAAAGGAAUUGACGGGGGCCCGCACAGCGGUGGAGCAUGUGGUUAAAUCGGAGCACCGCGAAGACCUUACAGUCUUGACAUACUCGUGCUAUUCCUAGAGAUAGGAGUUCUUCGGACACGGGAUAAGGUGGGUGCAUGGUUGUCUUCAGCUCUGGUCUGGAAUGUUGGGUAGAUCCCGCAACAGACGCACCCUAUUGUAGUGCCAUCAUUANUGGCAUCUUACGGAACUGCGUGAUAAACCGGAGGAGUGGGAUUGCUCAAUCUCAUCCAUGCCUUUAGACUGGCUACGUUCGAUGAAGUACA